CUCCCCCACUUCCUAUUAUUUAUUCCUCCAUCUCCAUCCCUGUUGUUUUGCUCAGUCUCUCUGCGCUUCUCUCUCUACACUGUUUUCCUGCUUCUUGUCCCUCUCUUGUUCCCAGCAUCCCAUUUUCUGGCUCCCUGUCUUGCACCUCUGUGUCCCUCUGUCCUUCCUCCUGCUUUACUCUUCCCUUUUAUCACCCCAUCCUGCUGCCUUUGGGCACUGAGCCUUGUAGCCAACUCAUUGCCAGGAUUUCUUAUAUGCAUUAAUGAAUAAAUUUUUCCUGCCUCCUCUGUGUCCCUGGAUGUGGUUGCUUGAGACUGGCUGGGCAUCGGUCAGUUGGUGGUUUCUUAUAGGCACCCUUUACAUACCAUGAAGUCUGCUAUAAGGUCUCCUGCAAAG